UCAGCUUGUGUGUUAGUGGAACGGUCUGGAAAGUCCGACGGUACAGGGUGAUAGUCCCGUACACCAAAAUGCACAGGUUGUGAACUCGAAGAGUAGGGCGGGACACGUGGUAUCCUGUCUGAAUAUGGGGGGACCAUCCUCCAAGGCUAAAUACUCCUGACUGACCGAUAGUGAACCAGUACCGUGAGGGAAAGGCGAAAAGAACCCCGGCGAGGGGAGUGAAAAAGAACCUGAAACCGUGUACGUACAAGCAGUGGGAGCACCUUCGGGUGUGACUGCGUACCUUUUGUAUAAUGGGUCAGCGACUUAUAUUCUGUAGCAAGGUUAACCGUAUAGGGGAGCCGCAGGGAAACCGAGUCUUAACUGGGCGUUAAGUUGCAGGGUAUAGACCCGAAACCCGGUGAUCUAGCCAUGGGCAGGUUGAAGGUUGGGUAACACUAACUGGAGGACCGAACCGACUAAUGUUGAAAAAUUAGCGGAUGACUUGUGGCUGGGGGUGAAAGGCCAAUCAAACCGGGAGAUAGCUGGUUCUCCCCGAAAGCUAUUUAGGUAGCGCCUCGUGAACUCAUCUUCGGGGGUAGAGCACUGUUUCGGCUAGGGGGUCAUCCCGACUUACCAACCCGAUGCAAACUACGAAUACCGAAGAAUGUUAUCACGGGAGACA
rnacentral:rRNA from 1 species